AUGUAUGUCUAUUUCAUUCAUAAAAUAACUUUACAAUGCGCGAUGUGGUUGUAUGCCAGUAGCCUAGAUUAAAUGAUGCCCCCCUUCCAUUUAGCAUUGAGGUUUUAUUCCUUUUAGUCCGUGUUUGUCUUGGCUUACAAUUUUCU